rnacentral:rRNA from 1 species
GAGGAAUAAGCAUCGGCUAACUCCGUGCCAGCAGCCGCGGUAAUACGGGGGAUGCAAGCGUUAUCCGUGAAUCAUUGCGUCGUAAAGCGCCUGUAGGUUGUUUAAUAAGUCUGUUGUUAAAGACUAGGGCUUAACCCUAGGAAAGCGAUGUAAACUACUAGACUUGAGUAUGAUAGGAGUAGAGGGAAUUUCUAGUGUAGCGCUGAAAUGCGUAGAUAUUAGGAAGAACACCGGUGGCGAAGCCGCUCUACUGGAUCAUUACUGACACUCAGAGGCGAAAGCUAGGGUAGCAAAAGGUAUUAGAUACCCCUGUAGUCCUAGCCGUAAACGAUGAAUACUAGAUGUCGUGUUUAUUAUGCAGUAUCGCAGCUAACGCGUUACGUAUCCCGCCUGGGGAGUACGCUCGCUAGGGUGAAACUCAUAGGAAUUGACGGGGGCACGCACAAGCGUAGGAGCAUGUGGUUUAAUUCGAUGCAACGCGAAGAACCUUACUAGGACUUGACAUACUACAAAUUCUUUUGAGACACAGAAGUGCCUCCGCGAAUGUAGAUACAGGUGGAGCAUGACUGUAGUCAGCUCCGUGUAGCGAGAUGAUGCGUUAGGUCCCGCGACGAGCGCGACCCUCAUGUUUAGAUACCAAUUCGUUGAGUACUCUAGUAAGACUGCAGCUAACGAAGCGUAGCACGGUGAGAAUCACGUCUAGUCAGCAUGCCCCUGAUGUCCUGCGCUACACACGUGCUACAAUGCUUAAGACAAUGAGUCGCGAGCUCAUGAUAGUCAGCUAAUCUCAUAUACUGAGCGCACGUGCAGAUUGCAGGCUGCAACUAGUCUGCAUGA